UCCUAUGUUUUCUGCGCAUUUUUUUAUCUCCGUUAGUUUUCUUUCUAUAAUUUUGUCGAAAAUUAAUUUGCUACGGACUAUUAUAAAAUUAUUUUUUAACCAUAAAAUAACACAAUCUGGUCAAUGCAUAAUUUAAAUAAAUACUUUAAUUAUUACUAUGCAUAUGCAUAGAGAAAUGAUGUAAAUAACUAAAUGCAAUUUAUUACUACCUCGCGAUAAAUCUAUUCACUACUCAGCUAAUUAAAAUCGUCGAUAAAGUACGUAGUGUAAAAUAACUGAUUUAUAAUCGAAUAACUACGAAUAACCAAAUAGAUUGUGCUGGCGUUAUUAAGCACGUUACUCGUUUAAUUUUUUUCUCGAAGGCAAAGAAGCAUUGUCCUAAAUCAUCAUCGAUCAAAAAUUCCUAUCCAAGAUAAAUUGAACGCCCGACAAUUUCUCGGGGACCAAAAGAUUGCUGCACAAGUUUCUCGUAUCGUUACACGUUGAUGACGUUGCGAAAUAAUAUUCAAAUCAGUAGCCGAGGUCAGAAAUCAGGUAAUCGGUGACCCAACAACAAUGACCGUCAACGGGAAGUUAUUUGCGUUGAGGAUUACGUGGCAACCUUUGCACGAGAUAUUGUGAUGCAAAGUGUCCAGUGCGAAAUCGAGGGAGAUCCUGGUGUGUACACGUUCCGUCGUAGCCGCCCUCGUCCGUGUUCACGCGUGUGCGUGCGGGUGUGUGCGAUUAAUAUGCGUAGAGUGGUACAGGGAUUCUGCUCAGUAUGCGGGACAUCAUCGCGUCUAUGAUAGUAUGAUUGUCGGGCCACUCGUGGCUCAAUCUAACGUUCCAAUGUUCCAUUGCUGCCCCCCCCCUCUCUCUCUCUCUCUCUCUCUCUCUCUCUCUGUCCCGCUCUCCUUUCCUCUCCUCUCUCAUUCUCUAGUUCACACUCAAGCCAUCACAUUUCGCUUCUCACUCGCCGUUCCACCAACUUUGCUGUUCCCUGUUCAUCUCUGUCUUUCCCCCUUUCCUCUCAAACGGGAACGGCAGUCAAACCCAUCCGGCUAAUCCCAGGAGGACUCCGCUCUCCAUCCCUUAUCAGUAUUCAAUGCCUCUAAACUGCUUUUUGACACUAUCCAAGGCCUCGAGAAUUCUAUUUUACAACUCAAUUCUCUGAUCUCGCCGUUCUACAGAUAUACCGGUGAAUUGCAUGGCCACGCAACGUGGGCGAGAAAACAACAAUAAAAUGCUCUUUACGUAUAUCCUCGUGAAUUAAAUAUAAAGUAGCUCACGCCAUUAUUACACUCCACUCCGCCGUUAUCAAUGGAAAGCACUGUACAUGCACGAGCGAACUAUUAGUUGCAGAAUGUUCGCGCCAGGGCGACCUCGUCGUAUAGUGACGCAGGGAUUGUACCUUUACCCCGGGCUGGGGCGAAAUUCUCCUCUCCGUUUCGGGAGCGGAUUGAUGGUUUUCAUUGUUCACCAGGAUAGGCGGAUUUCAGUGCGGUGCGAGCACGGUAACACCGGCAGGCGCGCCCUUCGCGUCGCACAGAAGCCCUUUGACCAUCCUUUGCAUUCGGGAUUCCGGAAUGAAGGAAAUAGAGCGCCGUAAUACCACGAUAGCGUGGCUACGUUAUACGACAGGCGGCCGUUACCGCAAAAUACUACGGGCCGCGCAUGCAUGCAGCUGAAGAAUUUUAACAGGAUACUACGAACCCCAAGCCGGAGAAGAGGCGAGGCAAACUGCAUUACAGGGAGAUAAUAGGUGUAAUUACGUUGAUACAGAGUCGAUAGACAUCUGCGAAAAUUUUCGCCCGGUCUGAUCCUGGUUUCUGCAUUAUUCACGAGUUUCGGGCUUAAUUAUUCGAGAAUUUCAAACUUGCACAAUUAUUGUUCUCAAAAAGGAUGCUAUUAAGUCGCGACAAUCGACUGUACGUAAUGCAAUGCGCGCGAUAUCAUUCGUAGCUCGCCGGGAGAAUCAAUUUCAUAAUUCAGGUAGAAAAGAAUCUGGUGCGCAUUCCCCAUCCGAUAUAAUGUCUCGGGUAGACUCCUGAGAAGGAAACUGAAGUCUCGCAUUGUCUUUUUCUCGCGAAUCUCAGUACGCAAAAAUACGCAUCCACGUACAUACCCGUGUGUAUUGCACGCCUUGUAUAUAAUAUAUUCGCAUGGUACUUUAUAAAUCCGGAUUACAGCUAUCCGAAGAGAAAAAUAAUAAAAAAACAUUCCGCUAACGUUAUUAGAUUUUCUUUCAUCCCCCGAGGACAAGACGAUCCGCGACAGGGAGGCGAAAGGACGAAUAGAAAUGGAAUGGAGGGACGAGCGCGUUGGUAUUAGCAGAUUCUGUCCGCUCCUCGAUUCCGGCAAAACAGGGACAUUAAUCAGGAUCCGCCUGAUAAAAUAAAUAGACAGGAGGAAGAGAGAGUGACGUUUUAAUUAUAAGGACGGUCGAUGAUGCAUGUUCGCUAAGUUACUAUCAGUGCCGUGACACAAAGGCACUGACGUCGCCGCCUCGAUACCAUCGCUCAACGCAUUUGUAACGAAACUCACGACCGUUUAGAAAAUGUGAUUAUAAUAUUCCGAAAAUCUAUUUCUUCCUUUCAAGUUGAUCAACAAGCGCAUUUAAUUUUUCUCAUUUUGAAACUGUGCAUCGGACUGUUACGUAGUCUAACAAUGGCUUGAUUUUUUAAAAAUUUAUCGAGGCCAUUCAUUUCGAAAUUGUUGCGGACACAUGUGUACGGCUUAUGACUCCGUAUUCUACCGAUAGUGAGCAGCAACUAGCUAGAAAAUCGGCAAAUUUGAAAUUCAAAUUCUUGGAUCUCUGUGAACGCAAUUUUGCGUUGCAGGAAUCUCUGUACAAUGUGAAAUAACGAAUUCCGGUUGAAGUAAAUGUAACAAUUUAGGCCACAUUGCCGACUUUUAAUAAAACCUUUAAAUGAUGUUUAAUUAUAUUC